rnacentral:rRNA from 1 species
CGGAUAUUGUUGCGGGGGCUCUGUACAACAUAGAAGUCGAACGCUGAAGCUCCCAGCUUGCUGGGGGUGGAUGAGUGGCGAACGGGUGAGUAAUACGUGAGUGACCUUCCCUUGACUCUGGGAUAAGCCCGGGAAACUGGGUCUAAUACCGGAUAUUCACUUCCUCCUGCCUGGGAGGGGGUGGAAAGGGUUCUGUACUGGUCUUGGAUGGGCUCACGGCCUAUCAGCUUGUUGGUGAGGUAAUGGCUCACCAAGGCGACGACGGGUAGCCGGCCUGAGAGGGUGACCGGCCACACUGGGACUGAGACACGGCCCAGACUCCUACGGGAGGCAGCAGUGGGGAAUAUUGCACAAUGGGCGCAAGCCUGAUGCAGCGACGCCGCGGGAGGAAUGACGGCUUUCGGGUUGUACACCUCUUUCAGCAGGGAAGACGCGAAAGUGACGGUACGUGCAGAAGAUGCGCCGGCUAACUACGUGCCAGCAGCCGCGAUAUACGUAGGGCGCAGGCGUUGUCCGGUAUUAUGGGCGUAAGAGCUCGUAGGCGGCUGUCGCGUCUGCUGUGAAGCCUGGGCUACCCAAGGUGUGCAGGGAUACGGGCAG